AUUGUGCUUCCUUCGUCCCAAAAUUCUAAUCUUAUAUUUUUCUAAAUUUGGAUGUAUCAAGUCACGUUUUAGUAUUAGAUACAUCCGUAUCUAGACUAAUCUAAGACAAGAAUUUUGGAAUGGAGGGAGUAGUAG
rfam:Triticum aestivum genome assembly, contig: Triticum_aestivum_CS42_TGACv1_scaffold_030378_1BL